UCCGGUCCAAAGGAACGAUUGCCGCGGGAACAGGGUGGUCAUUGGUUUUUUAAAGGCGUCAAUAAAUCGCUUUGUCAUAUCGAGCAUCGUAGGCACGCAGUAUUUGUGCAAAGAGCCGGUGCCAUCCGACCUCUCACUGAGACUCUCCGCUCGAUACCGCUGAUUGUCCGCGACUGCAGUUGCAGCUACUCCGGAUGGAGCAUUCCACUAUCCGCAUCCUGUGGGGGGAUAGCCAUGAGCACCACACAAGCUGGAACAUUGAGGUCCGAUAUGUGUGGUGUUUAUUGCUGUCACGAGAAGCUUAGCUGCGAGCUGCCGGGCCCGUCCACAGUUUGCGGAUAGUGGAAUGCUCCAUCCGGAGUAGCUGUAACUGCAGUCGCGGACAAUCAGCGGGGUCGCCUUUUUCCGGAGAUUGGACGUGAAUUGACGACUCCAUGAAUCCUCGUAUGAGACGUCGGAGGGGUCACAUAGUCCGUGUACUUCCGCAACGUGGUUGGACCUGAGCACGUGCGAAAGCGCAGCUACUUCAAACUCUGCUUAUACCUGACGGAAACCGAGUAGUCAAAGACACGGUUUCGAUAGACCGAAAAAAUCCAGAGUUCGCGGUUUUUUUCGAUCCCGACAAGGACCAACAGCAAACGGAGCCUGCAUCGCGAAUUUGACAUUCCCAGGACAAAAAAAAAUUUACAAUACCUAGUACUGAGGCGGAAAUUAUCUUAAAAAUACAUUCCCCUCUGCAGUUGGAUUAACGUAACGAGAUCGAUCCAGAAUUACACCUUGCCAAUGACUGAUUCCCUCCGCAAAUCAGCGUUUACAACAAAAAUAACCUUAAAAUUAAGAAACUAAAAUGAAUAGGCAUCGGGUGUUUGGAAUACAUGAGUUCUAAUAAGAGAUCAGAAAAUUUACUUUUAUUAAGUUGAUAUUAGUGACAUAUCAAACUUCCAGUGUCAUUGAUAAUAUAAGCGUAUGACAAAGUGGACACGUUCGAUGUCUGGUUAUUUCCAUUGGCGCUGCACAAUGAUGACAAGUUCCACAAAUCCAAAUGUUGGCGGUUGGUUGAGUUAUAGGUUUUCCGGAUGAGAUACAAGGUGGGAAACGUGCGCCACAUUUGUUGCAGGCUGGCAAGCUAAAAGUUAGAAAAAAAAUAAAACUAUUAUAUAAAAUUCAAA